CAGCAGCCGCGGGAAUACAGAGGGUGCAAGCGUUAAUCGGAAUUACUGGGCGUAAAGCGCGCGUAGAUGGUUCGCCAAGUUGGAUGUGAAAUCCCCGGGCUCAACCUGGGAACUGCAUCCAAAACUGGCGAGCUAGAGUAUGGUAGAGGGUGGUGGAAUUUCCUGUGUAGCGGUGAAAUGCGUAGAUAUAGGAAGGAACAUCAGUGGCGAAGGCGACCACCUGGACUGAUACUGACACUGAGGUGCGAAAGCGUGGGGAGCAAACAGGAUUAGAUACCCCUGUAGUCCCUGUCUCUUAUAC
rnacentral:rRNA from 1 species